AUCAAUUUUUAAGUCACUCCCAUACAUAAAAUCCUUCAAUGGCUUCCCAUUAUACAGUAAAUAAAAUCCAAAAUCUUAACUUGGCCUAUAGAGCUCUGGUGUCUGUGAACCAGCACAGUACACCAAAUGUGACCUUGCUUCAGGACCUUUGCACCUGGAGCUCCCUCCACCUGGAAUCCUCUGCCCCCCAGAUCUUGUCAAGUCUGGCUCCCACAAAUCAGUUAGGUCUCAAAUCAAUACCUCUCUCCUCCAAGAGGCCUGCCCCACGGCCCAGCUCUCUCUCUCCCUAGCUGCUUGAUUUUCUUCAAAGUGUUUAUCUCUUUCUGAGAAUAUCUUAUUUACUUAUUUCUUUACUUGUUUUUUGUCUGGCUCUCCACAUACAAAUGCAAGCUUUGCGAGGGUCUCGGCCACUUAGGAUAGGGAAACCCAAUAACUAGCAACUCCACCCCCAGCCCCACCUAAAGAGAGAGAGUGGGGGGUAGAAGUCAGGCAGGGGAACGCAGAAGUAUGACUUUAUCCCUGUAAGAAUUGAUCAUGGGGAAUGUGACUUCUCUUUGCCAAAAAAAGGAACUUCCUCACCCUGAAUGCCUGAAUCAGAGAGAUUUGUCCAUCCCUGGAGAACCACAGGCCACAUCCUGGGUCAGGCCCCUUUUUUCACACAUCAAGGAGUAAAGCAGGCCGGCUCUGUAGAGGAGGCUGAGAUGCUAGCCGGGGAAUAAGAGGGGCGAAAGACAUGGGGACUGUUGUGCAACAUUCUCACUCUCUCUACAAGAAACAUCCCAGCCUAACGUCAUCCAAGCACCUUCACCGGUUUCUGGCACAUAGUGGGAGCUCUUCAACUAUCUGGUGAAUGAAUGAUAGUCUAAUUCAAAUAAAUCAAUAUCACAUUGUAUAUACCUACUACACCACCUUAGAGUCUUUUCCACCUGGAAUGUUCCCUCCCUCCCCUCUCCCAUCUUGUCCAGCCUGGCUCCCAUGUGUCAGUCAGAUGUCAGCUCAGUGGCCCCCUCCUCAGAGAGGCAUACCCUGAGCCCCCAGGCUGUCUCUCCCUCAUUACCCUGCUUUGUCUCUCCCCACUGACACAUUCUAAAGAGAUUGUAUGGUUUUGUACUAAUAAGCAUGAGAAGGGGUGCAUCUUUUUUUCUUGUUUUGCACCAUGACACACACAAGACCAUGUCUGAGAUUCUGGGCUCGAUUCUGAAUAUGAUUCUGGAUGAGCUGGAGAUUCCCAAAGAGAAGGGAAACUAUGGGGAAUUGAUCACCAUUUGCACACAAAUGAGGACCAACCAGGGCUUCUUUUUUUUUUUUUAAUAAACAACAAUAAAGCAAUGCUGUGCAUCACACCUUCAGUUAUAUAAAGACCUACUCAGUAAGUUACUUUUCAAGACUCUUUAGGAAAAUAAAAGAUUCGGUCCAGCAGGAUUCAAAUAUAAUAGCCUUGCCAAACAAUUUACUCAAAGAAACACAUUUCAGUUAAUUUUUGUUGAUGUUCUUUCCAACAUUCUCUGGCUUGAAGGAUAAGCUUCGGAUUCUGAAAUACCUAUAUAACUGACAUAAAUUGUGUUGUUGUUGUUUUUUAAUCUACAAAUCUACUCAUGACUGAUGAAUAACUCCUCUUGCUUUCAUCAACGUUUGCCAAGCCCACGGUGGUAAAUGGUACCCAUCAGAAGGCAUGAGCAGAAGUGUGCUGACAGUGACAAGCCAGCUCUGCCAGGGCAAUGAGCACUGGGAACCUUCAAAUGAUUUUGAAAUUAGAGAAGGCCAAGGCACCCAAGAGGUGACCCAAGAGAAUAGACAGAAGCGAACUGGCUAAGAUGCUAAGGCUUGACGGGUCCCUGCAAGACACAGGCACAUUCUCAACCAGGAUGUGAGAAACUGAACCAAGGGACCAUUUACAGAGGUCAGGACUCCCAGGCAUGAAGAGGUAAGUAGCUCGCCUAAGGAUCCCAUAGCUAAUGAAUGACAGGACUGGGGUUGCACCCACAGAGUGGGGCUCUAGGGCCCUUCGCCCUUGUACAGUGGUGGUAUGACCUCUCAGGCAUGCACACAUUUACUGAUUUUCACACCGGACCCCAGGUUUCCUACCAGGAGAGGUGUAAGGAUGUCUUACACACAAGCCCCAUGCUUAAUGACUUAACAGCUACAAAAGGGGCACAAUUCACCCUAAAACCAUGGCAG